rnacentral:rRNA from 1 species
UACGUAGGGGGCAAGCGUUGUCCGGAAUCAUUGGGCGUAAAGAGCGUGUAGGCGGCCCGGUAAGUCCGCCGUGAAAGUCCAGGGCUCAACCCUGGGAUGCCGGUGGAUACUGUCGAGCUCGAGUCCGGAAGAGGCGAGUGGAAUUCCUGGUGUAGCGGUGAAAUGCGCAGAUAUCAGGAGGAACACCGAUGGCGAAGGCAGGUCUCUGGGCCGAUACUGACGCUGAGGAGCGAAAGCGUGGGGAGCGAACAGG